UGCGUAGGUGGUUAGGUAAGACCUGUGGGAAAGACCUGGGCUUAACCCAGGAAGGUCGCAGGUGACUGCCUGGCUAGAGGGCGGGAGAGGAGCGCGGAAUUCCCGGUGUAGCGGUGAAAUGCGUAGAGAUCGGAAGGAAGGCCGGUGGCGAAGGCGGCGCUCUGGAACGUUCCUGACACUGAGGCACGAAAGCGUGGGGAGCAAACAGGAUUAGAUACCCUGGUAGUCCACGCCCUAAACGAUGGGUACUAAGUGUCGGCGGGUUACCGCCGGUGCCGCACCUAACGGAGUAAGUACCCCCGCCUGGGGAGUACGGCCGCAAGGUUGAA
rnacentral:rRNA from 1 species